CACAAGCGGUGGAGCAUGUGGUUUAAUUCGAAGCUACGCGAAGAACCUUACCAGGUCUUGACAUCUUCUGCCAAUCUUAGAGAUAAGACGUUCCCUUCGGGGACAGAAUGACAGGUGGUGCAUGGUUGUCGUCAGCUCGUGUCGUGAGAUGUUGGGUUAAGUCCCGCAACGAGCGCAACCCUUAUUAUCAGUUGCCAGCAUUCAGUUGGGCACUCUGGUGAGACUGCCGGUGACAAACCGGAGGAAGGUGGGGAUGACGUCAAAUCAUCAUGCCCCUUAUGACCUGGGCUACACACGUGCUACAAUGGACGGUACAACGAGUCGCAAAGUCGCGAGGCUAAGCUAAUCUCUUAAAGCCGUUCUCAGUUCGGAUUGCAGGCUGCAACUCGCCUACAUGAAGUUGGAAUCGCUAGUAAUCGCGGAUCAGCAUGCCGCGGUGAAUACGUUCCCGGGCCUUGUACACACCGCCCGUCACACCAUGAGAGUUUGUAACACCCAAAGCCGGUGAGGUAACCUUUUGGAGCCAGCCGUCUAAGGUGGGACAGAUGAUUAGGGUGAAGUCGUAACAAGGUAACC
rnacentral:rRNA from 1 species